rnacentral:rRNA from 1 species
UACGUAGGGUGCAAGCGUUGUCCGAAAUUAUUGGGCGUAAAGAGCUCGUAGGCGGUUUGUCGCGUCUGCUGUGAAAUCUGGGGGCUCAACCCCCAGCCUGCAGUGGGUACGGGCAGACUAGAGUGCGGUAGGGGAGAUUGGAAUUCCUGGUGUAGCGGUGGAAUGCGCAGAUAUCAGGAGGAACACCGAUGGCGAAGGCAGAUCUCUGGGCCGUAACUGACGCUGAGGAGCGAAAGCAUGGGGAGCGAACAGG